GGGAUGGGCCUGCGUCUGAUUAGUUUGUUGGUGGGGUAACGGCCUACCAAGACUACGAUCAGUAGCCGACCUGAGAGGGUGAUCGGCCACAUUGGAACUGAGACACGGUCCAAACUCCUACGGGAGGCAGCAGUGGGGAAUAUUGCACAAUGGGCGAAAGCCUGAUGCAGCAACGCCGCGUGAGCGAUGAAGGCCUCUGGGUCGUAAAGCUCUGUCCUUGGGGAAGAAAAAAAUGACGGUACCCAAGGAGGAAGCCCCGGCUAACUACGUGCCAGCAGCCGCGGUAAUACGUAGGGGGCAAGCGUUAUCCGGAAUUAUUGGGCGUAAAGAGUACGUAGGUGGUCUUUUAAGCGCAGGGUUUAAGGCAAUGGCUUAACCAUUGUUCGCCCUGUGAACUGGAAGACUUGAGUGUAGGAGAGGAAAGUGGAAUUCCUAGUGUAGCGGUGAAAUGCGUAGAUAUUAGGAGGAACAUCAGUGGCGAAGGCGACUUUCUGGACUAUUACUGACACUGAGGUACGAAAGCGUGGGGAGCAAACAGGAUUAGAUACCCUGGUAGUCCACGCCGUAAACGAUGAGCACUAGGUGUCGGGGUCGCAAGAUUUCGGUGCCGUAGUUAACGCA
rnacentral:rRNA from 1 species